rnacentral:rRNA from 1 species
AGUGAACGCUGGCGGCAUGCUUUACACAUGCAAGUCGAACGGUAACAGGCCGCAAGGUGCUGACGAGUGGCGAACGGGUGAGUAAUGCAUCGGAACGUGCCCAGUCGUGGGGGAUAACGCAGCGAAAGCUGCGCUAAUACCGCAUACGAUCUCUGGAUGAAAGCGGGGGACCGAAAGGCCUCGCGCGAUUGGAGCGGCCGAUGUCAGAUUAGGUAGUUGGUGGGGUAAAGGCCCACCAAGCCAACGAUCUGUAGCUGGUCUGAGAGGACGACCAGCCACACUGGGACUGAGACACGGCCCAGACUCCUACGGGAGGCAGCAGUGGGGAAUUUUGGACAAUGGGCGCAAGCCUGAUCCAGCAAUGCCGCGUGCAGGAAGAAGGCCUUCGGGUUGUAAACUGCUUUUGUACGGAACGAAACGGCUCUGGUUAAUACCUGGGGCUAAUGACGGUACCGUAAGAAUAAGCACCGGCUAACUACGUGCCAGCAGCCGCAGUAACAC